AAUGUGAUGGAGAAGGCCUGAUUAGCCCACUUAGAGUUCCUGUUUCUUAGCAAUGUAUUUAUCUGUUUCCCUCUUGGUCCCUGUUCUUGGAACAGGCUGGGAUAAUGAGAUGGGGUUUAUCCUCAUGGAAGUUGCUUUAAAAUGGUGAAAUCACAGUCUUCCACUCAUGUGCCUCUCCCUUGCCCAAUUUCAAUGCCCACAUGGAUGGGUUGCUCUGAACAACCAAGUACAACCAUUGUGCCGUAAUUGUGUGUUUAUGUGUCUCACCGAGACUCUGUGUUAGACUCAGAGCUACAGCAUGGCAAAGAAGAUCACAAUUUGUCCCUCCCACAAAGUCAGGAGGCCACGGUACAGUCUGGAGUUCAUUUGUUUGAAAAGGGAAGGAAAGAGACUCCCUAAGCGCUGCAGCCCCAUGGCCGUGUGCCGUGUGCUGUAACCACCAGUGCCAGUGGGGUCACCACCCCAUCCAUCAUACUGAGAAAGGAUCCUGGCACAACCACUGGCCCCGCUGAGCUUGAAACCUCCCCUGCCGAAGCCUGAGGCUCAGUGUAGCUGUCGCCUGGGAGGUCUGCAGAGAUGUGGCCCUGGCCAAACCACCUGCUCUGGCUUUUCAUUGCCUGCUCCCCUACCCCAACUGUCAAAUUUUCCCAGAGCACCGAGGUUUCUGAAUAUGGGUUAAGAGCAUUCACUGUGACUCUCAAAGAUGCAUCCAGCUUGUUCACUUUUCAAACACAGCCCCCAUGUUGUGUGGAAGUUCUGGCCCCAUGGUGAGGCUGUGCCUGUGGGUUUCCAUCCAGCAGCCUAAGCUCAAGUCUCAGCUGACAGCUGGAAUCAAAUGCCAGAUUGCAGAGGAAAACAUUAGAAUGUGAAAGACUAGAGAUCUUUUCAAGAAAAUUAGAGAUACCAAAGGAAUAUUUCAUGGAAAGAUGGGUGAAAUAAAGGACAGAAAUGGUAUGGACCUAAUAGAAGCAGAUGAUAUUAAGAAGAGGUGGCAAGAAUACACACAAGAACUAUACAUAAAAGAUCUUCAUGACCUGCUAAUCACGAUAGUGUGAUCACUCAUCUAGAGCCAUACAUCUUGGGAUGCGAAGCCAAGUGGGCCUGAGGAAGCAUCACUAUGAACAACGCUAGUGGAGGUGAUGGAAUUCCAGUGGAGCUAUUUCAAAUCCUAAAAGAUGAUGCUGUGAAAGUGCUGCACUCAAUAUACCAGCAAAUUUGGAAAACUCAGCAGUGGCUACAGGACUGGAAAAGGUCAGUUUUCAUUCCAAUCCCAAAGAAAGGCAAUGCCAAAGAAUGCUCAAACUACCGCACAAUUGCACUCAUCUCACAUGCUAGCAGAGUAAUGCUCAAAAUUCUCCAAGCCAGGCAUCAGCAAUACGUGAACCGUGAACUUCCAGAUGUUCAAGCUGGAUUUAGGAAAGUCAGAGGAACCAGAGAUCAAAUUGCCAACAUCCACUGGAUCAUUGAAAAGGCAAGAGAGUUCCAGAAAAACAUCUAUUUCUGCUUUUCCCUGAUGACUAAAGAUAUUGAGCACCCUUCUAUGUACUUAUUAGCCAUAUAUAUGUUUUUUAGUGUGUGAAGUGUCUGUUCAAAUCUUUUGCUUACUUUUGUUUUUUUUUUUUGUUUGUUUGUUUUUUAAAAAAUUUUUAUUUAUUUGGAUGCACCAGGUCUUAAUUGAGACAAUCUGGAUCUUCAAUCUUCGUUGCAACAUGAGAAAUCUUUUAGCUGUGGUGUGUGGGAUCUAGUUCCCUGACCAGAGAUUGAACCUGGGUCCCCUGUGUUGACAGCACAGUCUUGGCUACUAGACCACCAGGGAAAUCCUCACGUUGUUUCUAAAUGGAGUUUAUUUUCUUAUUGAGGUGUAAAAAUUCUCUCUACUGGACAUAAGUCCUUUGCCAGUUGUAUGUAUUAUAAAAGUUUCCCAGCCUUUGACUUGGGUUUCCCACUUUAAUAGUGGUGCUUUUUGAGG
ensembl:lncRNA